UAGGGUUCGUAAAAGUUCUCUCGAGUCUCUGUGUUAGUCUGCCGGCUGGCCGCCAUCUCACAACAGCUUUUUAUUUAUAGUCCAACAAUCGACCAACCACAAUCGAAAAACAUCAUGUCAUAGUGUUGUUUGUUCGUAAUUUUAUUUGAUAGGGUGAUUACUGCCCCAUAUGUGCUUGGUUUUUCUACUAUACUCGUUGAAUGCUUGCAUCCCGAUUUUUUCGAGAUACACUUGAAAUAAUGAAGAAAAUGCUCCAAGAAUUAUUGAGAUCAAGUUGGUAUGCAGCAGAACAAGAUUGUCAUGGUGGGAGGUCUUGGUAGUCAUGAUGUUCCAGAAAAGAUCCAUGGGUACAGAGUGGGAAGAGGUUUCAUGGGUGCCUGACACUUUCUUUCAGGGAUUCGGAGAAAUAGAUGAUGUUUUUGCAAGCAGAUGUGCUGGUGAUCUUAUCUACAUCCAAGCCUAUGGAUCAACAUCAGUUCUUAUCUUUGAUAUGAAGUUGAAAGUAUGGAAAUGGUGCCAGAAAAGGCCUCUGUGCAGGAGGUAUGCCCUUGAGCUUUUCUCAGGAUUCUGCUUUGAACCCCGGCUUGAUAUUUCACCCUGAUCUUAUCUAGCAGCAUAAAUACUUAGUUGUAAUAGCAGUGUUAGUCAUUUUCUGUUCAGCCUCCGGUGCAGAUUUCUUCCUCAAAUAAUCUGUACUGUCAAAAAAUUCUGGAGACGAUGAUUAUUUUAUUUAUCUGUUAAUAUUUUUUAUGAUAAUCACACGUUAAAUGACAA